rnacentral:rRNA from 1 species
CCUACGGGAGACAGCAGUGGGGAAUAUUGCACAAUGGGGGAAACCCUGAUGCAGCGACGCCGCGUGAGUGAAGAAGUAUCUCGGUACGUAAAGCUCUAUCAGCAGGGAAGAAAAUGACGGUACCUGACUAAGAAGCCCCGGCUAACUACGUGCCAGCAGCCACGGUAAUACGUAGGGGGCAAGCGUUAUCCGGAUUUACUGGGGGGAAAGGGAGCGUAGACGGCAGCACAAGUCUGGAGUGAAAUCCCGGGGCUUAACCCCGGAACUGCUUUGGAAACUGUGCGGGUGGAGUGCAGGAGGGGUAAGCGGAAUUCCUAGUGUAGCGGUGAAAUGCGUAGAGAUUAGGAGGAACACCGGUGGCGAAGGCGGCUUACUGGACUGUAACUAACGUUGAGGCUCGAAAGCGUGGGGAGCAAACAGGAUUAGAUACCCGUGUAGUC